rnacentral:rRNA from 1 species
UACGUAGGGACCAAGCGUUGUCCGGAAUCAUUGGGCGUAAAGAGCGUGUAGGCGGCUUGUUAAGUCUUGCGUGAAAUCUCGGGGCUCAACCCCGAGCGGUCGUGAGAAACUGGCAGGCUAGAGUGCGGGAGAGGAGAGUGGAAUUCCUGGUGUAGCGGUGAAAUGCGUAGAGAUGUGGAGGAACACCGAUGGCGAAGGCAGCCUCCUGGGCCAGCACUGACGCUCAUGCACGAAAGCGUGGGGAGCAAACAGG